GUUAAUUAAUUUUUCUUAGUGUCUAAUUCUUGUAUCAUUGAAAUUUAAUGGGUAAAUGCAUUUAUUAUAAACUAACAUCUUAACAGAAUAGUUACACAAUGACAGAAGUAUUAUUAAUAUAGACUAAGGUUAUAAUAGUCGGUGCUAAUCUCUCAGGAUUAUUUAAUUGGACAUGAUGUGUUCCUGGGACAAAAUGGCUCUCAAAUUUCGCAUUAUUCCUUUCAACCACUUCUCGCAUUUCCACAGAAUACUUGUCUGAUGCGUAAGGGAAUCUUUCCACUACUUGGUUCAAGUCGUAGUCAUCGUAAAUAAGACUGUCCACUGCUAUAUAGAAGUCGACAUCAUCUGGAAAUACGCAGGCGAAUCGCAUCCCAGCUAUGGAACCCAUGGAAUGUCC